UACGGAGGGUGCAAGCGUUAAUCGGAAUUACUGGGCGUAAAGCGCGCGUAGGCGGCUUUGUAAGUCGGAUGUGAAAGCCCUGGGCUUAACCUGGGAAUUGCAUUCGAUACUGCAUGGCUAGAGUAUGGUAGAGGAUAGUGGAAUUCCUGGUGUAGCGGUGAAAUGCGUAGAUAUCAGGAGGAACAUCAGUGGCGAAGGCG
rnacentral:rRNA from 1 species